CUUUGGACUUUUGCAUUAAUGCUGAAAUGAGUUAAGACUUUGGAGACUGUUGAGAAACGAUGAUUGUAUUUUACAAUGUAAGGACAUAAGAUUGGGAGGAGCCAGGGGGCAGAAUGAUAUGGUUUGGAUUUGUGCACCCAUAUCUCAUGUUCAAAUGUAAUCCCCAAUGUUGGAGGAGGGGUCUGGGGGAGGUGAUUGGAUCAUGGGGGUAGAUCCUUCAUGAAUGGUUUAGCACCAUCCCUUUGGUGCUAUUCUCAUGAUAGAGUUUUCACAAGAUCUGGUUAUUUAAAAGUGUGUGGCAUCUCCGUUCUCACUCUCUGUUUCUCCUGUUUUGGUCACGUGAAGAUGCCUGUUCCAGCUUUGCCUUCUGCCAUGAGUAAAAGCUCCCUGAUACCUCCCCAGAAGCAGAUGCUGCCAUGCUUCCUGUACAGCUUGUGGAAACAUAAGCCAAUCAAACCUCUUUUUAAAAAUAAAUUACCCAUGGCCAGGUUUAGUGACUUAUGUCUGUAAUCUCAGCACUUUUGGAAGCCGAGGCAGAUCACUUGAGGUCAGGAGUUUGAGACCAGCCAGGCCACCAUCGUGAAACCCUGUCUCUACUAAAAAUACCAAAAAGCUUAGCUGGGUAUGGUGGUGCGUAUUUGUAAUUCUAGCUACUUGGGAGGCUGAGGUGGGAGGAUUGCUUGAACCCAGGAGGUGGAGGUUUCAGUGAGCCAAGAUCACACCAUUACACUCCAGCCUGGAUGACAGAGGGAGACUCAUCUCGAAAGAAAGAAAGAAAGAAAGAAAGAAAGAAAGAAAGAAAGAAAGAAAGAAAGAAAGAAAGAAAGAAGGAAGGAAGGAAGGAAGGAAGGAAGGAAGGAAGGAAGGAAGGAAGGAAGGAAGGAAGGAAGGAAAGAAAAUAAAUUACCCAGUCUCAGGAAUUUCUUUACAGAGGUGCGAGAAUGGACUGAGAUGGGAGGAUUGCUUGAACCCAGGAGAUGGAGGUUUCAGUGAGCCAAGAUCACACCAUUACACUCCAGCCUGGAUGACAGAGUGAGACUCAUCUCGAAAGAAAGAAAGAAAGAAAGGAAGAGAGAAAGAAAGAAAGAAAGAAAGAAAGAAAGAAAGAAAGAAAGAAAGAAAGAAAAUAAAUUACCCAGUCUCAGGAAUUUCUUUACAGAGGUGCGAGAAUGGACUGAGAUGUGAGGAUUGCUUGAACCCAGGAGAUGGAGGUUUCAGUGAGCCAAGAUCACACCAUUACACUCCAGCCUGGAUGACAGAGUGAGACUCAUCUCAAAAGAAAGAAAGAAAGAAAGAAGGAAAGAAGGAAAGAAGGAAAGAAGGAAGGAAGGAAGGAAAGAAAGAAAGAAAGAAAGAAAGAAAGAAAGAAAGAAAGAAAGAAAGAAAGAAAGAAAAUAAAUUACCCAGUCUCAGGAAUUUCUUUACAGAAGUGCGAGAAUGGACUGAGGUGGGAGGAUUGCUUGAACCCAGGAGAUGGAGGUUUCAGUGAGCCAAGAUCACACCAUUACACUCCAGCCUGGAUGACAGAGUGAGACUCAUCUCAAAAGAAAGAAAGAAAGAAAGAAAGAAAGAAAGAAAGAAAGAAAGAAAGAAAGAAAGAAAGAAAGAAAGAAAGAAAGAAAGAAAGAAGGAAGGAAGGAAGGAAGGAAGGAAGGAAGGAAGGAAGGAAGGAAGGAAGGAAGGAAGGAAGGAAGGAAGGAAGGAAGGAAAGAAAGAAAGAAAAUAAAUUACCCAGUCUCAGGAAUUUCUUUACAGAAGUGCGAGAAUGGACUAAUACACCAGCCCACUCUGUCUCCACAGACUCUUCAUAAAACAGUGCCCAAUUCUGUAGGUUUUUACUGUGCUUCACAAUUUGAAACUCCUCCCCCAGAGCUGAUAGAGAAUAACUCUUCAUCACUCUGACAUUCAGAGUCUAUCCCAAAACUCCAGAGCAGGGCUUCCCUAAGAAACUCCCUCUUUAACAUUCUCCAUAACAGAUGAGUAUACAUUCUUCAAAAAUACCCAACUGGUUUGGUCCUGUAUUUCUCAAACAGUUCUUUUAUUUAUUCAUUAAAGCUUAAUUGAUAGAUUCCAGUUCUGGCCAAGAUCAGGUAGCCCCAUUUCUUACUAGUUCUGCCUCUUACAAAAAAAAAAUUUCAGACAUAACACAAUAAAUACAAGAAGACGGUCGGAGGCAGAUGGAAAAAAGUGAGCUGCCCUAGAACCUCAGGGCUUGAGGAACAACACAGUGGAGAGCUCCCUAGGUUUUCUUUUUGCCUCUAAUUUUUCCUGAACUGCAGGGUGUUGGAGAAGACUGUAACCUGGAAUCACCAAUAGGCAGAGACAAAAGAAGCGCCAAGAAAAUUAUAUCUUUAGCCAAGGACUGGGAAAACAGCAACUUAAUAGAACAGAAAACUUUUUGAUAACAUCUGACUUGCUUCAACCAAAUAUCAAAAGAAAAAAAAUGACCAAUUUGUGGUGACAGAUGUAUAAAGUGCAAGAGUGAUUGAAAAGAGAUGAGACUGAAGACAUGGGUAAAGUCUAUGUGUUUGCAGGGCCUUGAGUACUAGAUAGGGCACGAAGACUAUUUGGACUCCACGUUUUGGAUUUAGGGAAACUACAGACGUGGCUUAAGUGACUAACAACAGGUUCAGAUUUGAUUUUUAGGUGGAUCACCCCAAGUGUUAUAGGGAGGCAAUUGCAGUUCCGAGAGAUCGUGAAAUCUUCCAUUUGGCCUAGAACAUUGGACUUGUGGGAGAAAGGAAAGAUUCCAGAAAUUUAAGGGCUUGGUAAUUGGAUGUUGGGGAUAGUGGUGGAGAU
rnacentral:lncRNA from 1 species